GAGGGUGGUGGGUAGUAGGAAGGGGGAGUAGCCUGCUGCAGAGGCAGCGGCUCAUGGAAAACCUCUACCAGGGCAGUGCGCCUGUGGCUUUGCAGGCUUUAGCCCCCAUGGCUGCUCUCAUGGGCUGGGCUGCUGUUGAGUGCCUAUCACUUUUCCAUACUGAGGGUGUGAACUUUUGGUAGGUCUAUGAAUCAGGGAUCUAGAGGAUGGUGGCCUCCUGCAUAGUCACUCAAAGCCCUUAUUUUCCUUGUGCACUGCCAUAGUACAGGAUUUCCAAGAGCCUCUGCCUCUGCAGCAGGUUUCUGUCUGGAAAGGUAGGGGGUGGAGAUGUGUUGGGGGGCGGAUCCUUCACCAAUGGUUAAGCACCAUCUUCUUGAUGCUGACCUUGUGAUAAUGAGUUCUCAUGAGAUCUGCUUGUAAAAUGGGGCAUGACAACUUUUUCCUUUCUCUGUCUUGCUCCUACUCUUCCCGUAUGAGACAUCUCCUUGCCCCUUGACAUUCUGGUAUGAUUGGGAGGCUUCCUGAGUCCUGUCAGAUGCAGAAGCCACUAUGCUUCCUUACAGCCUGCAGAAUCAUUACCCUAUUAAACCUCUUUUCUUUAUGAUCAUGGAGAAAAUUAUUACUGCAAAGUGGAACUGUUAAAUGUCUUCAAGGCCUUCUCCCUAAUGUCUUGGCAAUCAGCAAUGGGCUUCUUUUUAUUCAAGUAUCUGAAGCCUCCUUGAAUUUUUCCCUGAAAAUGGGCUUGUCUUCCUUUACCACAUUGCCAGCCUGUGACAAAGAUAGCUGAUAAUGUAGAAGCAGGUUCAGAAGGGGGUAGCAGAUGGAGUUCGGGAGAGUUUGGAGGACUUCAAAGACAGGGAGAUGAGGGAAAGUUUGGAUCUUUGUAAAGAAUUGUUAAAUACUUGUGAUCAGAAGACUCACAGGAAAAUAGACAGUAAGGAUCAGAUUGAGAAGCUCUCAGAUGCAAAUGAGGAACUUACUGCAAACAGGAGCCAAGGUUACUUUUGUUUUGCUGUAGCAAAGGACGUGGAUGCACAGUGACCCUGCCCUGGAGAUCUGUGAAACUUUGAACUUGAGGGUGAUGACUUACUGCGUAUCUGAUGGAAUGAAGUUCUGGGCAGCAAAGCUGCAGUGGUGUCCUGUCUGUAUCAAACAGCCUGUGCCCUUAUGUGUGACUGAGGAAAUGACAUCUGGAUGGGUCUUACAUUAAAUGAGUCCGAACUCUUAUAUUAAAUGAGAAACAGAACUCAACAAUUUGCUUCCUGGCCAAAUGGUCAAAAAGAAAAGCUGAUUUUCAGGGGAAAACUGAGGAAGGCUUCAGAAAUUUGCAUGGAAAGGAGCCCAGUGCUAAUAGCCAAGACAAUAGGGAAAAAGCCUUG
rnacentral:lncRNA from 1 species